GAUGAACGCUGGCGGCGUGCCUAAUACAUGCAAGUCGAGCGAACAGACGAGGAGCUUGCUCCUCUGACGUUAGCGGCGGACGGGUGAGUAACACGUGGAUAACCUACCUAUAAGACUGGGAUAACUUCGGGAAACCGGAGCUAAUACCGGAUAAUAUAUUGAACCGCAUGGUUCAAUAGUGAAAUACGGUUUUGCUGUCACUUAUAGAUGGAUCCGCGCCGCAUUAGCUAGUUGGUAAGGUAACGGCUUACCAAGGCUACGAUGCGUAGCCGACCUGAGAGGGUGAUCGGCCACACUGGAACUGAGACACGGUCCAGACUCCUACGGGAGGCAGCAGUAGGGAAUCUUCCGCAAUGGGCGAAAGCCUGACGGAGCAACGCCGCGUGAGUGAUGAAGGUCUUCGGAUCGUAAAACUCUGUUAUUAGGGAAGAACAAAUGUGUAAGUAACUAUGCACGUCUUGACGGUACCUAAUCAGAAAGCCACGGCUAACUACGUG
rnacentral:rRNA from 1 species